GUGGGGAAUUUUGGACAAUGGGCGCAAGCCUGAUCCAGCAAUGCCGCGUGCAGGAAGAAGGCCUUCGGGUUGUAAACUGCUUUUGUACGGAACGAAAAGGCUCUGGUUAAUACCUGGGGCUCAUGACGGUACCGUAAGAAUAAGCACCGGCUAACUACGUGCCAGCAGCCGCGGUAAUACGUAGGGUGCAAGCGUUAAUCGGAAUUACUGGGCGUAAAGCGUGCGCAGGCGGUUUUGUAAGACAGAGGUGAAAUCCCCGGGCACAAACUGGGAAUUGCCGUUGUGACUGCAAGGGUGGGGUGCGGCAGAGGGGGAUGGAAUUCCGCGUGUAGCAGUGAAAUGCGUAGAUAUGCGGAGGAACACCGAUGGCGAAGGCAAUCCCCUGGGCCUGCACUGACGCUCAUGCACGAAAGCGUGGGGAGCAAACAGGAUUAGAAACCCGAGUAGUCC
rnacentral:rRNA from 1 species